AAAAAUUUUUCCCCCCCCAAAGGGGGCCCCCCCCGGGGGAAAAAAUUUGGGGAAAGGGGGGGAAACCCCCGGGGGGGGAAAAAAGGGCCCCCCCCAAAAAAAUUUUGGAAUUUUUUUUGGGGAAAAAUUUUUAAAAAAAAAAUUUUUGAAAAAAUUUUAAAAGGAAAAUUUUUUUUUUUAAUUUUUU